GCAUAUCUCAACUGAUGGAGAGAAUAUCUCAAUUUGUGGCAAAGACUCUGAUGACCUAAAGUUAGAUCGAGGUUCACCAAAUCAAUGGCUGGAGGUUCGCGUGACCCACGUGCAGAAAAACGGGUCAAAACGACUCGGUUCAAUAGAGAAGACAAAGCAAACGACAUGUCGUUCGCUACCCUUUAGCGCAGAAAACAACUUGUCAUUUUGACAAGUCCCACGGCACAGUAAGGGAAAAACGACAUGUCGU